UCGUCAGCAACGUCUGAGCAGAGGAACGCGCCCUCAGUAUGUUGGUACAGCAGAGGUCCCACAUAAUUUACACAUUGUUCUGAUUGAUCAAAAUACCAAUUAUUUAAAAUAUAUAUAUCCGAAUUGGGCUUCCUGUGUAAAUGCAGCUAUAUAGCCCAGUGGUGUCAAACUCAUUCCAUGGAGGGCCUAGUUUCGACAGGUUUUAGUUUUAUCUUUCAAUUAAGCCCCAGACAAUCGGUGUUCCUUACUAAUUAGUGACCUUAAUUCAUCAAUCAAGUACAAGGGAGAAGCGAAAACACACAGACAAUCGGCCCUCCGUGGAAUGAGUUUGACAUCUAUUAUAGACAUAUUUAUCAUGCACAAUUAAACACUUCCACGUUGAAUCAUGUUUUCAGUUCAUUUGAUUGUGCAAAACAAACAUCGUUUAUGUCUGGCUGUCCAUACCAAUUUUUACUAUUAAAGAAAUCUCCAGUGUUGUAGAUAUUUACAGAAUAAAAAAAAAUGUAUAUUUAUUUUGCACACCGUUUUUAUGGGUCCAACAGACAUUUCCACCUGCAGUGCAGAGCGAUAGUAGAUCCUCCUCCAGAGGGCGUUCUUUACUAGGGACUCAGAAAUAGAAACUUGAGAAAUUAUCAAAAAAUUUCAUCUGGAUAGCGCAUUGAAGUCCAAUGUAUGUUGUAGGCUACUUUGAGAAAGACGGGCUCAAAAGAGAGUAAUUUUAACUGCUUACAAUGUGGAUAUUGAGUUUAAAAUUCGAGCCAUUGUUGAUGCGCUCGUCUGGCCUGAGAUGUUUGCAACAAGAUACAGUUAUAUCGAAAGAAUACUAUAGGUUGGAACGCCGUUUGGGUUUUGUCAUGUCAAAUAACACAGUUAUAAUAUAGAAUGUUUUGAAUUUACACGUGCAAGCCAAGCGCAACCACUACUAUCAGUAACAAUGUCAAAGCUGUACAAAAAAGUCUGCAAACACCGGCGAUGACAAAUCGUUCAUCGCCGGUGUUUACAAUACCGCUUAACCGGGCAUGUACAAGUUAAAUGACCGCUUAUUGUGAUUCGCUUGUGGGUGUGCUGGCAGUAUUUUGACCGUGCGUCAAAAAUUCAGCACAGCAAGUUUGUAUGAAGGUCUUAUUAUUAAAUGAGUAAAUAGUUCAAUAGUAAUAUCCUCUAAAACGCUCUGGUGACAAACUUUGCUACCCUGUUUCCAAUUGUUGACAUGGCUGGGAGAACCUAUUCAAAUACCUUGUAACUGGAGAUAUCUUCAAAACGAUUGCCUAGUUAACGUGUAGGGCACUGCAAGGUUGGGUCACCAGGGACUGCCUCCUGGAGGAAUUCAGGUGUGUGAAGGCUACCUGUGUCCUGCAUAACUUCAUGAGGAUGGACACGAGGACCAGGAGGGGAUCUGCAGCUCACCGCCAUGUGCCAGAGGGGAAGUCUGCUGCUCUGCAGGAUGUUUCAAGGAUGGGGUCCAACAACGCAGCAAAAGAGGCAAUCUGUGUGCGGGAGAUCUUCACCUCCUACUUCUACUAAGAGGGUGCUGUUCCCUGACAAUGCCAUAGACUACACUAUGCACAACCAACGGCUCUUUUAAUAGCCAUUCACAUUGCAAUAAGAGUAUUCUUCCAUUUACUUAGCUAUGUCAACUGCAGUUAUUCAAUUCCCACUUUCUCUCCCUUUGAUUUCAACUUCUCAGGUGAUGGUGCUGUUUAGGUAAGUGUGAUGCCUGUACAAAAACAAAACAGGCUAUUUUAAAUCAACCAUAUUGAAAAAAUGUAGAACAAUUAGACACCCUAUAGCCCAAACGCAUGUAUCAAUCUGAUUGAUGAAUUGUGUUGUGCAGUAAGCAGGCUCAGGUGUAUAACUGGCUCCUUCCACCUUCAAAAAAUAGGCAAGGCCAACCAUGGAGAAUAGUAAGACACUUCAUUAUUUCUAUAACUACGCUAUAUUGUUUGUCCUCGUGUGUCCGUUCAUGUUUUUCAGCAUAAAGUACUCUGUAGCCACUUGGUGUGGACACCAGGUGAGGCCACACACACAAAUUCCUAUUGAACACUGUCUCUAACUACCUUAUUUUCUCAAUAAGUCUUUCUCCUUCACUUCAUCCCUCUCUUCUUCCUAAAUCCUCUAGGUUAUAUCAGCUAUGUAGGUGAACCCCUCCCGCAUCUGACUUGGCUACAUAGAGGGCACAUCAUGAUAUAUUUUGACAUGAGAGGAUGCCAACCCCUGGUCCCAUCAUUGCCACCUUACCCGCUCUUAAGAUAAUCUUCGGGCUGACUAGAAACACUAAUUUUGAUGAACUGAGAGAAUAUUUGGAUUCAUUAAUCAUACGCUGCAUUCUCUGCUCUUUCCCUUUUAUGCCUCUUCCUCUGUUUUUAUAAUGCACAACAGAUGUGCAUUGAAGUACAGAUUGAACGUGUAUUUAUAUUACAAUUAUAAUAUUUAAUGCAUGUAUUUAUAACACUUUGAUAAUGAACUUCUUUCAAUAAAGCAUUUCACAUUCUCUA